rnacentral:rRNA from 1 species
AUUGAACGCUGGCGGCAGGCUUAACACAUGCAAGUCGAGCGGAGAGAGGUAGCUUGCUACUGAUCUUAGCGGCGGACGGGUGAGUAAUACUUAGGAAUCUGGCUAUUAGUGGGGGACAACAUUUCGAAAGGGAUGCUAAUACCGCAUACGUCCUACGGGAGAAAGCAGGAGAUCUUCGGACCUUGCGCUAAUAGAUGAGCCUAAGUCGGAUUAGCUAGUUGGUGGGGUAAAGGCCUACCAAGGCGACGAUCUGUAGCGGGUCUGAGAGGAUGAUCCGCCACACUGGGACUGAGACACGGCCCAGACUCCUACGGGAGGCAGCAGUGGGGAAUAUUGGACAAUGGGGGGAACCCUGAUCCAGCCAUGCCGCGUGUGUGAAGAA